CUGAUUCUGAAGCACAUAUGCUAAAAAAUGGAAAAGAUACAGAGAAGAUUAGCAUGGUCCCUGUGCAAAAAUGACAUGCAAAUUCGUGAAGCAUUCCAUAUUUUU